GCAGCAAUAUUUUCUGCAAUAUUCCAAUCUUGCAAAAUAAUAUUUCUGCAACGUUGCAGCAAUAUUUCAUGCUGUAGGCGAAGUAACUGUAUUGUACAUAUAUUUCAGCGGAUGUUUGCUGCACUCGGUGGACCCGUCUAAGAGAAUCUUUCUCUAAAGAAAAGAAAAAAAGACAAAGUGAAACAACAAAUGGAAGUGGAGCUUCCAAAAGACGAGGAUUUGUAUACUUCGAGUCUAUGAAAUAUAUUGACAAAUUUGUCAAAACUAAAAAAUCGAUAACCAACAUCAAGUUUCCCCAAAAAUCUAAUAUUUUUGAUUGUUCAAAAGACAAGAGUCUAAAUAAAGAAAUUUCAAAUUGGGUGCAGCAUAGCAAACAAACUCUGGAAAAAGAAAGAACUUUUUUGGAACAAAUUGAUGCAAAUAUAUUUUCACCAAUAAAAGAAUGCCCAAUACCGGAAACAUCACCCACUAUCAGUAAUUUUAAUAAUGCGUCAUGCAUAUCCUCCUUCGACAACAGAAAGUAAUACUAACGAUUUCGAACAUCAAUUGUUGUAUCAUCACCCGAUACAAGUAAUUCUUCAUUCCUUUCUCCAACAAGCGUAAAAUCUACCUGCACUUUGAAAAAGCCGCCAUAUAUGAAGGGUAAAUUUAAUCCUAAUAUAUUAAAUAAAAGAAACGCUAAAAAUGCAGAAUAUGAAAACGAUUAUUUGGAAGCGUCUUUUAUUACCUUGAAUCAAGCAGUUACAGAUCAUUUGAAUUCCAAAAAAGAUGAUGCACAAAUGCAGAAUGAUCCAGACAUUUCAUUUUGCAAUCUGAUUAUGGCGGAAUUGAAACAACUGGAUAAUCAUAUAAAACAAGUCAAGAAACAAGAAAUUAUGCAAAUUUUGUGGAGAAAAGAAAACUUAUGAGCAAAGUGUUUUUUGUGAUAAAAUAAAUAAUUUGCAUUUAUUCGUACAUAUAAUACUCGUGUUUUAAGAUUGUGUGAUAUUAAAUUUAGUAAUAAAAAAUAUGUGUACUAAUAUAUAAUAAUAAUAAUAUUA